GAUGAACGCUGGCGGCGUGCCUAAUACAUGCAAGUCGAGCGAACGGACGCGAAUCUUGCUUCUCUGAUGUUAGCGGCGGACGGGUGUGUCACACGUGGAUCCCCUACCUAUCAGACUGGGAUCACUUCGGGAAACCGGCGCUAAUCCCGGAUAAUCUUUUGAUCCGCAUGGUUCAAAAGUGAAAGACGGUCUUGCUGUCACUUCUCGAUGGAUCCGCGCUGCAUUAGCUAGUUGGUAAGUUAACGGCUUACCACGGCAACGAUGCAUAGCCGACCUGAGAGACGGAUCGGCGACAUGGGAGCUGAGACGCGGACAUGAGGACUAAGAGAGGCAGCAGUAGGGAAUCGUCCGCAGUGGUCGAAAGCAUGACGGAGCAACGCCGCGUGUGUGAUGAAGGUCUUCGGAUCGUAAAACUCUGUUAUGAGGUAAGAACAGAUGUGUAAGUAACUGUGCACAGCGUGACGGUACCUAAUCAGAAAGCCACGGCUAACUACGUG
rnacentral:rRNA from 1 species